UUUGUAGAGGAUGCCCCGGCGUCAGCUAAGGCCCAGGUCCCUUGGAACAGGGCGCCACAGAGGGUGAGAGUCCCGUACUUGGCCCGUAGUUUUCGCCGUGUGGGGCUCCUUCGACGAGUCGAGUUGUUUGGGAAUGCAGCUCUAAGCGGGAGGUAAAUUUCUUCUAAAGCUAAAUACCGGCCAGAGACCGAUAGCGCACAAGUAGAGUGAUCGAAAGAUGAAAAGCACUUUGGAAAGAGAGUUAAAAAGCACGUGAAAUUGUUGAAAGGGAAGCGCUCGCAGGCAGACUUGCCCGUGGCGGUUUCGCUGGGUGUCUCACCCAGUUUACUCCGCCGCGUACGGGCCAGCAUCAGUUCGGGCGGUCGGAUAAAGGCGGUGGGAAUGUGGCUCCCCCCGGGGAGUGUUAUAGCCCGCCGCGCAAUACGGCCAGCCCGGACUGAGGAUCGCGU
rnacentral:rRNA from 1 species